rnacentral:rRNA from 2 species
GCAGUCGAGCGAACUGAUUAGAAGCUUGCUUCUAUGACGUUAGCGGCGGACGGGUGAGUAACACGUGGGCAACCUGCCUGUAAGACUGGGAUAACUUCGGGAAACCGAAGCUAAUACCGGAUAGGAUCUUCUCCUUCAUGGGAGAUGAUUGAAAGAUGGUUUCGGCUAUCACUUACAGAUGGGCCCGCGGUGCAUUAGCUAGUUGGUGAGGUAACGGCUCACCAAGGCAACGAUGCAUAGCCGACCUGAGAGGGUGAUCGGCCACACUGGGACUGAGACACGGCCCAGACUCCUACGGGAGGCAGCAGUAGGGAAUCUUCCGCAAUGGACGAAAGUCUGACGGAGCAACGCCGCGUGAGUGAUGAAGGCUUUCGGGUCGUAAAACUCUGUUGUUAGGGAAGAACAAGUACGAGAGUAACUGCUCGUACCUUGACGGUACCUAACCAGAAAGCCACGGCUAACUACGUGCCAGCAGCCGCGGUAAUACGUAGGUGGCAAGCGUUAUCCGGAAUUAUUGGGCGUAAAGCGCGCGCAGGCGGUUUCUUAAGUCUGAUGUGAAAGCCCACGGCUCAACCGUGGAGGGUCAUUGGAAACUGGGGAACUUGAGUGCAGAAGAGAAAAGCGGAAUUCCACGUGUAGCGGUGAAAUGCGUAGAGAUGUG